UCGCUAGUAAUCGCGAAUCAGAAUGUCGCGGUGAAUACGUUCCCGGGUCUUGUACACACCGCCCGUCACACCGCGAGAGUUUACAACACCCGAAGUCAGUGGCCUAACCGCAAGGAGGGAGCUGCCUAAGGUGGGGUAGAUGAUUGGGGUGAAGUCGUAACAAGGUAGC
rnacentral:rRNA from 1 species